GUAAGUAAGCGUUGAUCCAGAGAUUUCCGAAUGGGGGAACCCAGCAUGAGUUAUGUCAUGUUAUCGACAUGUGAAUUCAUAGCAUGUCAGAAGGCAGACCCGGAGAACUGAAACAUCUUAGUACCCGGAGGAAGAGAAAGAAAAAUCGAUUCCCUGAGUAGCGGCGAGCGAAACGGGAAGAGCCCAAACCAACAAGCUUGCUUGUUGGGGUUGUAGGACACUCUAUACGGAGUUACAAAAGAACAUGUUAGACGAAUCAUCUGGAAAGAUGAAUCAAAGAAGGUAAUAAUCCUGUAGUCGAAAACAUAUUCUCUCUUGAGUGGAUCCUGAGUACGACGGAGCACGUGAAAUUCCGUCGGAAUCUGGGAGGACCAUCUCCUAAGGCUAAAUACUCUCUAGUGACCGAUAGUGAACCAGUACCGUGAGGGAAAGGUGAAAAGUACCCCGGAAGGGGAGUGAAAGAGAACUUGAAACCGUGUGCUUACAAGUAGUCAGAGCCCGUUAAUGGGUGAUGGCGUGCCUUUUGUAGAAUGAACCGGCGAGUUACGAUCUGAUGCAAGGUUAAGCAGCAAAUGUGGAGCCGCAGCGAAAGCGAGUCUGAAUAGGGCGUUGAGUAUUUGGUCGUAGACCCGAAACCAGGUGAUCUACCCUUGGUCAGGUUGAAGUUCAGGUAACACUGAAUGGAGGACCGAACCGACUUACGUUGAAAAGUGAGCGGAUGAACUGAGGGUAGCGGAGAAAUUCCAAUCGAACUUGGAGAUAGCUGGUUCUCUCCGAAAUAGCUUUAGGGCUAGCCUCAAGUGAUGAUUAUUGGAGGUAGAGCACUGUUUGGACGAGGGGCCCCUCUCGGGUUACCGAAUUCAGACAAACUCCGAAUGCCAAUUAAUUUAACUUGGGAGUCAGAACAUGGGUGAUAAGGUCCGUGUUCGAAAGGGAAACAGCCCAGACCACCAGCUAAGGUCCCAAAAUAUAUGUUAAGUGGAAAAGGAUGUGGCGUUGCCCAGACAACUAGGAUGUUGGCUUAGAAGCAGCCAUCAUUUAAAGAGUGCGUAAUAGCUCACUAGUCGAGUGACACUGCGCCGAAAAUGUACCGGGGCUAAACAUAUUACCGAAGCUGUGGAUUGUCCUUUGGACAAUGGUAGGAGAGCGUUCUAAGGGCGUCGAAGCAUGAUCGCAAGGACAUGUGGAGCGCUUAGAAGUGAGAAUGCCGGUGUGAGUAGCGAAAGACGGGUGAGAAUCCCGUCCACCGAUUGACUAAGGUUUCCAGAGGAAGGCUCGUCCGCUCUGGGUUAGUCGGGUCCUAAGCUGAGGCCGACAGGCGUAGGCGAUGGAUAACAGGUUGAUAUUCCUGUACCACCUAGUAUCGUUUUAAUCGAUGGGGGGACGCAGUAGGAUAGGCGAAGCGUGCUGUUGGAGUGCACGUCCAAGCAGUAAGGCUGAGUGUUAGGCAAAUCCGGCACUCAUAAGGCUGAGCUGUGAUGGGGAGAGGAAAUUGUUUCCUCGAGUCGUUGAUUUCACACUGCCGAGAAAAGCCUCUAGAUAGAUAACAGGUGCCCGUACCGCAAACCGACACAGGUAGUCAAGAUGAGAAUUCUAAGGUGAGCGAGCGAACUCUCGUUAAGGAACUCGGCAAAAUGACCCCGUAACUUCGGGAGAAGGGGUGCUCUUUAGGGUUCACGCCCAGAAGAGCCGCAGUGAAUAGGCCCAAGCGACUGUUUAUCAAAAACACAGGUCUCUGCUAAACCGUAAGGUGAUGUAUAGGGGCUGACGCCUGCCCGGUGCUGGAAGGUUAAGAGGAGUGGUUAGCUUCUGCGAAGCUACGAAUCGAAGCCCCAGUAAACGGCGGCCGUAACUAUAACGGUCCUAAGGUAGCGAAAUUCCUUGUCGGGUAAGUUCCGACCCGCACGAAAGGCGUAACGAUUUGGGCACUGUCUCAACGAGAGACUCGGUGAAAUCAUAGUACCUGUGAAGAUGCAGGUUACCCGCGACAGGACGGAAAGACCCCGUGGAGCUUUACUGUAGCCUGAUAUUGAAAUUCGGCACAGCUUGUACAGGAUAGGUAGGAGCCUUUGAAACGUGAGCGCUAGCUUACGUGGAGGCGUUGGUGGGAUACUACCCUAGCUGUGUUGGCUUUCUAACCCGCACCACUUAUCGUGGUGGGAGACAGUGUCAGGCGGGCAGUUUGACUGGGGCGGUCGCCUCCUAAAAGGUAACGGAGGCGCUCAAAGGUUCCCUCAGAAUGGUUGGAAAUCAUUCAUAGAGUGUAAAGGCAUAAGGGAGCUUGACUGCGAGACCUACAAGUCGAGCAGGGUCGAAAGACGGACUUAGUGAUCCGGUGGUUCCGCAUGGAAGGGCCAUCGCUCAACGGAUAAAAGCUACCCCGGGGAUAACAGGCUUAUCUCCCCCAAGAGUUCACAUCGACGGGGAGGUUUGGCACCUCGAUGUCGGCUCAUCGCAUCCUGGGGCUGUAGUCGGUCCCAAGGGUUGGGCUGUUCGCCCAUUAAAGCGGUACGCGAGCUGGGUUCAGAACGUCGUGAGACAGUUCGGUCCCUAUCCGUCGUGGGCGUAGGAAAUUUGAGAGGAGCUGUCCUUAGUACGAGAGGACCGGGAUGGACAUACCUCUGGUGUACCAGUUGUCGUGCCAACGGCAUAGCUGGGUAGCUAUGUAUGGACGGGAUAAGUGCUGAAAGCAUCUAAGCAUGAAGCCCCCCUCAAGAUGAGAUUUCCCAACUUCGGUUAUAAGAUCCCUCGAAGAUGACGAGGUUAAUAGGUUCGAGGUGGAAGCGUGGUGACACGUGGAGCUGACGAAUACUAAUCGAUCGAAGACUUAAUCAAUUUUUAAA
rnacentral:rRNA from 1 species